GGUGAGAAUCACUCAUCUGCUGUCGAUGGACGCGAGGCGUGGAGCCGCGAGGCCUCCACCGUCGGCACCCGCGCCACGGCGCGCGGGCCGCCGAGCACACAGAGGAUGUCCGCGGCUACGCCCUCUAGGGAGCUGGCUGAUGUGCGGGGUGAGGAGGAGGAGGAGGCGCAGCAGGAGACAGAGAAGGAGAGGGUGAAGACCAGCUUCAACGACAGCUCUGUUAAAAUGACAGCCAUGUUACAGCCUGAACAAGAAGUUGGGGCUUCUUCAAAGAAAUCAACAUUGAUUAGCUCUUCCAUCACAAAGCGUAAAAGGCCUUCAUCCAAGGAUCAACAAACAUACUCCACUGUAGCAAAAAAGUCAAAGGCUCCUAUCCUUCCCUAACCUCAUUCUGUAGCAGGAGAGCAGCAAAGCCCUGAUCCACUAGGCUCGCACACUAUCAGGUCGUCGUCACUCCUCCACGUCCUGCCCCCACGCCCUGUUACCAUGGCAACAAUGACAAUCAUAUCACAGUCUGAACCAGAAGGUGGAGGUUCUUCAAAGAAAUCAGCAUUGGUUAGCUCUUCAAGCACAAAGCAUAAAAGGUCAAAGACAUCUACAUCGGCAAAACAACAGAACUCUCCUUCAACAUCUCCAUUGAAGAGGAGGCCUUCGGAAAAAAAUCAACAAAAACAAGCUGCAAAGAGAUUUAAGCCUCCAAUGGUGACAAGGUCUCCCAUGGUUACAAGGUCUCCAAUAAUUAUGUUAAUGGUGUCUCCUAUGGUGAUUGGGCAGAGGUCUUCACAUAGUCCAAGGAGCCCUCCAGUAUUAUCAUCCUCACCCCCUGUUGCAUCACCACCACAGUCAAACGCACAUGAUUCGGAUUCCACUUUGGCACAUAGUAAACCACGCAAGUUAAGAUCUGAGAUUUGGAUUGAUAUGGAGCCAAUUUAUCAUCAAGGAAAGGUUAUACAAGCUCGAUGCAAGCACUGCAAUGAGGUAUUCUCUGCAACACGUAAUUGUGGCAAUAGUCACAUGUUAGAGUCAGCUUUGCCAUUCAAGGAUGCUUUUCAAGAGUUAGGCCACCUAGAUCCCAACUACAUUUACUCUUGCGCACGAAGUACUUUUCCCGAGAUUCAGGAAUGGCUGUAGAAUCUAGUCUGGAUUUCCUCUCGCCUCUUGUGUAACUAAUAAGUUUUUUUUUUCUCCUUUUGCUUCUUUGUUUCUUACCCUCAGCUCUGUAAAUAACUUUUUUCCUUUGAUAAUUGGUUGCAGUAGGGGUACGGUACUCCUCGAAGAGCAAAACUUUCAUUGUCGUUGGUUGAUG